UUACCAAUCCCUAAAUGUCUCAUCUCCUCUUUUCCUCCCAGAGCUAAAGGAGAAUAAAAACUAUGUACUUUCGUCAUUCGAUGGGGGCGAUGAAUCCUAAUUUUAAGCCACCAUCUGAACCGCCGUACUCCCACCGUCCCACUUCCUUUGACAGCCACCCUGACGAGCAUUUUACUGACAGUAUAUUUAGGGUUUUGAUUUUUUCGAUUAUUCAUGUCUUCAUUCUAGCCUCGUGCUGCAGAUGCAUGCGGGUUUCUCCUACUCUUACUAGGGGGAACACUUGCAUCCGCUGCUUAUCUUGUCCGGUGAAUGUGUUGUUGAUUCUGCAUGGUGUCAACCAUUUGUCUACUUAAGUUUUCUAUUGGUGGAUAUUAUGAUUAGAUCUAAAUCUGCUUCUCAUGGUUUUUCCUGUUGGUUUAUUUUUUUUAUAGUAUUGUUAAUCACUUAUGGGUAAGCUUGAUUCUUCAGUGGUUAAUGAGAUGAUUGUAAUUUAUGAUGCCUCGACUUUGAUUAAUAAGAUUAUUGUAAUUUAAGAGAUCCGUUGUCAGGAUGAAAUGAUAUUUUUGUUGUUGUUUCUAUACGUAUCUGGAUGGAAUUAUUAGGAGUUCCCCAUGAUGUUUAUUCUUUGAGAAUAUUAAUUAACCGCUGUUGUUAAUUUGAUCAAAUUGACUUUGGAUUUUCUUUUGAGUUUGGUGUUGAACCUAUUAUUGUCAACUUUUUCAUGUUUGAUGAAUGGACUUUGUAAUUGAAGAAAGAUUUCACAGGCUGUGGGUUUGUUUGAUUAUAUGGUUAUAUGAUGAACCUUUUUAUAUGAUUAUACCAUCAAACAAACUCACAGCCUGUCAUCUUUAAUGCAUUUGUUUACUUAUCCGGAGAAUGUGUUGUUGAUUUUGCAGGGUAUCAACCAUUUGUCCAUUAAAGUUUUCUAUUGUAGAUAUUAUGAUUGGAUUAUAUCUGCUUCUCUUUGUUACUUCUGUUAGUUUAUAUAUUUUUUAUUUUUAUUGUAUCAUUAAUCACAUGAGAUAUGUGUAAGCUUGAUUCUUCAUUGGUUUUCAUCUAAUUCUUAGGAGUUCCCCAUGAUGUUUAUUCUUUGAGCAUAUUGAUUAACUGCUGUUAAUCUGAUUAAAUUGAUUUUGGAUUUUAUUUUGAGUUUGGUGUUGAACCUGUUAGUGUAACUUUUUCCAGUUUGUUAAAUGGGCUUUGUAAUUGAAGUAAGAUUUCACAGGCUGUAGGUUUGUUUGAUUAUAUGAUUAUGUGAUGAACGUUUUUAUAUGAUUAUAUCAUCAAACAAACUCUUCUGCAUCUUUAAUGCAUUUGCUGAUGUAGCCUUAACAGGUCAGGGUUUGAGCAUUUGCGUUGUUAAUGGCUUCUGAAGUUGAGGAUAAUGUUGAAACAAUGAUAAGGUCAAGUUCCACUUAAAAUUCCCGAUUGAAGAUGCAUUCCAGAAUGUAUUUUUCUUUAAACUUGAUAGGUUAGAUGUAUUUUUCUUUAAACUUGAUGCAUGAAGGCGUGCGGAUGCACGAUGGCGGAUGCACGAUGCCAUUGUGCACGAUGGCGGAGGCACGAUGUAAUACAUUGUUUUUGUAGAUUUUUGCUGCACUAGGAUCAUGUUGCAGUUAAUUAUACUGUGUUGUUGUUCUAAAUACAUGGGGUAUUGUUUGCCUAUAUAUAGUUGCAUUGUUUGA